rnacentral:misc_RNA from 1 species
GAAAUGCGAUAAGUAAUGUGAAUUGCAGAAUUCAGUGAAUCAUCGAAUCUUUGAACGCACAUUGCGCCUAUUAGUAUUCUAGUAGGCAUGCCUGUUCGAGCGUCAUUUCAACCCUCAAGCCCUGGUUGCUUGGUGUUGGGGACCUGCGGCUGCCGCAGGCCCUGAAAAGCAGUGGCGGGCUCGCUGUCACACCGGGCGUAGUAGAUCUCAUCUCGCCCAGGGCGUGCUGCGGGUUCCGGCCGUUAAAAGACCCCCCGUCUUACCCAAGGUUGACCUCGGAUCAGGUAGGAAGACCCGCUGAACUUAAGC